GACGGAGGGAGCUAGCGUUAUUCGGAAUUACUGGGCGUAAAGGGUGCGUAGGCGGCGAAUUAAGUUAGAUGUGAAAGCCCAGGGCUUAACCCUGGAACUGCAUUUAAUACUGGUUCGCUAGAGAUAGGUAGAGGUAAGCGGAAUUCCUGGUGUAGAGGUGAAAUUCGUAGAUAUCAGGAGGAAUACCAGAGGCGAAGGCGGCUUACUGGGCCUAUACUGACGCUGAGGCACGAAAGCGUGGGGAGCAAACAGG
rnacentral:misc_RNA from 1 species